rnacentral:lncRNA from 1 species
GGACAAAAUGCCAGAUACAAGAUUUUUCCAGAGGUGGCAACCAGCAUAAUUUAGCAUCUAUGUGGAUAAUUCUGUAGAUUUUGUGGGAUUGGGAAUAGUACUUUUACAUCAAAGUAUACCUAGCAUGACUUAAUCCAUGACAAUUAGAGCACUCCCAGCUCGUUCCGUGAGGAGAAAAAAGAUAUUUGCAGGUUUUUGUUUCCUCACUGUCCAAGUCCCUCCCCUCUUCAA